rnacentral:rRNA from 1 species
AUGGGGGUGGAGUAACGCGUGGGGUAACCCUGCCCUUAAGGUCUGGGGAUACCAUUUGGAAAACAGAUGCUAAUACCGGAUAAAAGCUACUUUCGCAUGAAAGAAGUUUAAAAGGCGGCGUAAAGCUGUCGCUAAAAGGGAUGGGACCUGCGAUGCAUUAGCUAGUUGGUAAGGUAACGGGCUUACCAAGGCGAUGAUGCAUAGCCCGAGUUGAGAGACUGAUCGGGCCACAUUGGGGACUGAGACACGGGCCCAAACUCCUACGGGAGGCAGCAGUAGGGAAUCUUCCACAAUGGACGAAAGUCUGAUGGAGCAAACGCCGCGUGAGUGAAGAAGGUUUUCGGAUCGUAAAGCUCUGUUGUUGGUGAAGAAGGAUAGAGGUAGUAACUGGCCCUUUAUUUGACGGUAAUCAACCAGAAAGUCACGGGCUAACUACGUGCCAGCAGCCGCGGUAAAU